GACGAACGCUGGCGGCGUGCUUAACACAUGCAAGUCGAACGGAAAGGCCCUGCUUUUGUGGGGUGCUCGAGUGGCGAACGGGUGAGUAACACGUGAGUAACCUGCCCUUGACUUUGGGAUAACUUCAGGAAACUGGGGCUAAUACCGGAUAGGAGCUCCUGCUGCAUGGUGGGGGUUGGAAAGUUUCGGCGGUUGGGGAUGGACUCGCGGCUUGUCAGCUUGUUGGUGGGGUAGUGGCUUACCAAGGCUUUGACGGGUAGCCGGCCUGAGAGGGUGACCGGCCACAUUGGGACUGAGAGACGGCCCAGACUCCUACGGGAGGCAGCAGUGGGGAAUAUUGCACAAUGGGCGGAAGCCUGAUGCAGCAACGCCGCGUGCGGGAUGACGGCCUUCGGGUUGUAAACCGCUUUCGCCUGUGACGAAGCGUGAGUGACGGUAAUGGGUAAAGAAGCACCGGCUAACUACGUG
rnacentral:rRNA from 1 species